AUUGAACGCUGGCGGCAUGCCUUACACAUGCAAGUCGAACGGCAGCACGGGAGCAAUCCUGGUGGCGAGUGGCGAACGGGUGAGUAAUAUAUCGGAACGUGCCCAGUCGUGGGGGAUAACGUAGCGAAAGCUACGCUAAUACCGCAUACGAUCUAUGGAUGAAAGCGGGGGAUCGCAAGACCUCGCGCGAUUGGAGCGGCCGAUAUCAGAUUAGGUAGUUGGUGGGGUAAAGCCUACCAAGCCUUCGAUCUGUAGCUGGUCUGAGAGGACGACCAGCCACACUGGAACUGAGACACGGUCCAGACUCCUACGGGAGGCAGCAGUGGGGAAUUUUGGACAAUGGGCGCAAGCCUGAUCCAGCAAUGCCGCGUGCAGGAUGAAGGCCUGGUUGU
rnacentral:rRNA from 1 species